rnacentral:rRNA from 1 species
AACGAACGCUGGCGGCAGGCCUAACACAUGCAAGUCGAGCGAAGCCUUCGGGCUUAGCGGCGGACGGGUUAGUAACGCGUGGGAACGUACCCUUUUCUACGGAAUAGUCUCGGGAAACUGAGGGUAAUACCGUAUACGCCCUUCGGGGGAAAGAUUUAUCGGAGAAGGAUCGGCCCGCGUUAGAUUAGAUAGUUGGUGGGGUAAUGGCCUACCAAGUCUACGAUCUAUAGCUGGUUUGAGAGGAUGAUCAGCAACACUGGGACUGAGACACGGCCCAGACUCCUACGGGAGGCAGCAGUGGGGAAUCUUAGACAAUGGGCGCAAGCCUGAUCUAGCCAUGCCGCGUGAGUGAAGAAGGCCCUAGGGUCGUAAAGCUCUUUCGCCUGUGAAGAUAAUGACUGUAGCAGGUAAAGAAACCCCGGCUAACUCCGUGCCAGCAGCCGCGGUAAUACGGAGGGGGUUAGCGUUGUUCGGAAUUACUGGGCGUAAAGCGCGCGUAACGCGGAUCAACAAGUUAGGGGUGAAAUCCCGGGGCUCAACCCCGGAACUGCCCUUAAAACUGUUGGUCUUGAGUUCGAGAGAGGUGAGUGGAAUUCCGAGUGUAGAGGUGAAAUUCGUAGAUAUUCGGAGGAACACCAGUGGCGAAGGCGGCUCACUGGCUCGAUACUGACGCUGAGGUGCGAAAGUGUGGGGAGCAAACAGG